rnacentral:rRNA from 1 species
CCUACGGGUGGCUGCAGUGGGGGAUAUUGCACAAUGGAGGAAACUCUGAUGCAGCGACGCCGCGUGAGGGAAGACGGUCUUCGGAUUGUAAACCUCUUUCUUUGGGGAAGAAAAUGACGGUACCCAAAGAGUAAGCUCCGGCUAACUACUUGCCAGCAGCCGCGGUAAUACGUAGGGAGCGAGCGUUGUCCGGAAUUACGGGCUGAAAGGGGAGCGUAGGCGGGCGAGGAAGUUGAAUGUUAAAUCUACCGGCUGAACUGGUAACUGCGUUCAACACUUGUUGGCUUGAGUGAAGUAGAGGCAGGCGGAAUUCCUAGUGUAGCGGUGAAAUGCGUAGAGAUUAGGAGGAACACCAGUGGCGAAGGCGGCCCGCUGGACAUAAACUGACGCUGAGGCUCGAAAGCGUGGGGAGCAAACAGGAUUAGAUACCCGAGUAGUC